rnacentral:rRNA from 1 species
CCUACGGGGGGCAGCAGUGAGGAAUAUUGGUCAAUGGACGAGAGCCUGAACCAGCCAAGUAGCGUGAAGGAUGACUGCCCUAUGGGUUGUAAACUUCUUUUAUAUGGGAAUAAAAUGUUCCACGUGUGGGGUUUUGUAUGUACCAUAUGAAUAAGGAACGGCUAACUCCGUGCCAGCAGCCGCGGUAAUACCGAGGAUUCGAGCGUUAUCCGGAUUUAAUGGGUUUAAAGGGAGCGUAGGUGGAUUGGUAAGUCAGUUGUGAAAGUUUGGGGCUCAACCGUAAAAUUGCAGUUGAAACUGGCAGUCUUGAGUACAGUAGAGGUGGGCGGAAUGCGUGGUGUAGCGGUGAAAUGCUUAGAUAUCACGAAGAACUCCGAUUGCGAAGGCAGUUCACUGGACUGCAACUGACGCUGAGGCUCGAAAGUGUGGGUAUCAAACAGGAUUAGAUACCCGGGUAGUC